rnacentral:rRNA from 1 species
UACGAAGGGGGCUAGCGUUGCUCGGAAUCACUGGGCGUAAAGGGUGCGUAGGCGGGUUUCUAAGUCAGAGGUGAAAGCCUGGAGCUCAACUCCAGAACUGCCUUUGAUACUGGAAGUCUUGAGUAUGGCAGAGGUGAGUGGAACUGCGAGUGUAGAGGUGAAAUUCGUAGAUAUUCGCAGGAACACCAGUGGCGAAGGCGGCUCACUGGGCCAUUACUGACGCUGAGGCACGAAAGCGUGGGGAGCAAACAGG